GGGGAAUAUUGGACAAUGGGCGCAAGCCUGAUCCAGCCAUGCCGCGUGUGUGAAGAAGGCCUUCGGGUUGUAAAGCACUUUUGUCCGGAAAGAAAGCGAAUCGGCGAAUACCCGGUUUGGAUGACGGUACCGGAAGAAUAAGCCUCGGCUAACUACGUGCCAGCAGCCGCGGUAAAACGUAGGAGGCGAGCGUUAUCCGGAUUUACUGGGCGUAAAGCGCGUGCAGGCGGAUUGGAGAGUUGGAUGUGAAAGCUCCCGGCUUAACUGGGAGAGGGCGUUCAAUACUUCCAGUCUUGAGUGCAGUAGAGGGAAGUGGAAUUCCGGGUGUAGUGGUGAAAUGCGUAGAUAUCCGGAGGAACACCAGUGGCGAAAGCGGCUUCCUGGACUGUAACUGACGCUCAGACGCGAAAGCUAGGGUAGCAAACG
rnacentral:rRNA from 1 species